GUAGUCAUAUGCUUGUCUCAAAGAUUAAGCCAUGCAUGUCUAAGUAUAAGCAAUUAUACAGCGAAACUGCGAAUGGCUCAUUAUAUCAGUUAUCGUUUAUUUGAUAGUACCUUACUACUUGGAUAACCGUGGUAAUUCUAGAGCUAAUACAUGCUAAAAAUCCCGACUUCGGAAGGGAUGUAUUUAUUAGAUUAAAAACCAAUGCCCUUCGGGGCUCACUGGUGAUUCAUAAUAACUUCUCGAAUCGCAUGGCCUUGNGCCGGCGAUGGUUCAUUCAAAUUUCUGCCCUAUCAACUUUCGACGUCUGGGUAUUGGCCAGCCGUGGUGACAACGGGUAACGGAGGGUUAGGGCUCGACCCCGGAGAAGGAGCCUGAGAAACGGCUACUACAUCCAAGGAAGGCAGCAGGCGCGCAAAUUACCCAAUCCCGACACGGGGAGGUAGUGACGAUAAAUACUGAUACAGGGCUCUUUUGGGUCUUGUAAUUGGAAUGAGUACAAUUUAAAUCCCUUAACGAGGAACAAUUGGAGGGCAAGUCUGGUGCCAGCAGCCGCGGUAAUCC
rnacentral:rRNA from 1 species